GACCUCGGAUCAGGUAGGAAUACCCGCUGAACUUAAGCAUAUCAAUAAGCGGAGGAAAAGAAACCAACAGGGAUUGCCCUAGUAACGGCGAGUGAAGCGGCAACAGCUCAAAUUUGAAAUCUGGCUUUCGGGCCCGAGUUGUAAUUUGUAGAGGAUACUUUUGAUGCGGUGCCUUCCGAGUUCCCUGGAACGGGACGCCAUAGAGGGUGAGAGCCCCGUCUGGUUGGAUGCCAAAUCUCUGUAAAGUUCCUUCGACGAGUCGAGUAGUUUGGGGAUGCUGCUCUAAAUGGGAGGUAUAUGUCUUCUAAAGCUAAAUAUUGGCCAGAGACCGAUAGCGCACAAGUAGAGUGAUCGAAAGAUGAAAAGCACUUUGAAAAGAGAGUUAAAAAGUACGUGAAAUUGUUGAAAGGGAAGCGU
rnacentral:rRNA from 1 species